UAAAGUGAAGAUUUGUGGUUCUAAUAGCCAAAGGGAAACCAGAAAAAGCUUUCUGCAGCAGACUCCUCAAAUAAGCAAUAUGUAUUUGUCACAGCCAACACUCCUUUCACGGAAGGGUGGGUUGAUGCUUCUAGCUGGAAUCAGCCCAGUGAGAAACUGCUUGUGGUGUGCUGGCUCUCCUCGUUCUCUUUGGACCAGCCCUGUCGGCCUCUGGUGCUCCUGUUCAGCAUUUGCCCAAACGGUGGCAGCGAUGGAGAGGGACAUCUGCCCCGGCCCUGGCACAGGCUGCACUGACCGCAGCGCCCGCUGUCCCCGCCCGCCGCCUCAGCCCCGCCAUGGCGCGGAGCAGCAGCGCCCCCUGCCGGCCCGGGCCUUGGAGCUGCUCCUGAGGGAAAAUCAAAUUCCUCCUGCGGGAAAAUCAAAUUCCUCCUGUGGGAAACCCAGCGCUCCUUUCCCAUCAGAUUCCUCCUGCGGGAAACCCAGCGCUCCUUUCCCAUCAGAUUCCUCCUGUGGGAAACCCAGCGCUCCUUUCUCAUCAGAUUCCUCCUGCCGGAAGCCCAGCGCUCCUUUCCCAUCAAAUUCCUCCUGCCUUAUUUUCUCCUUCCACGAAUGUAUCAGGUUAUUUCAGCCCCCGAAUCUUUUGGGUCCUGUACACAUUUGUGUGAGAAAAAGCCCCGAGAACCCAGAAAUAAGCAGAAGCACAUUUGUUCUGUAGAAAAACUUGGGCCUCACAAUUUUGGUUUGAAAUGGAGGUGUGAAGUGUACUCACACUAGAAACACUGCUCAUCACAGGCAGAGGUGAUGGGAAGACUAGGCAGCAGCAGUGUGUAAAAUUUUCACAUACAAAUACUAAACUAUUGUUAUGUCUGUAGUAUGAGUAAAAUAGGAAUGUGUUUCAUUUCACAGAUGGAAAUAUUGGCAUAAAAUCACUUACUUUAUGCUCCCCUACAUGGAGACUAAAUGACAGACCUGGGAUUUCAUUUCAGGCAUUACCAGAUAACACAUGUGGUACAUAUGGCUACCCACCUAAAGUUUAUGAAAAGAGGGUUGUGUAAAUAGUCAUUGUAAAGAAAUAUCCACAAAAAAUAUUAAUAUGUGUUACUCAAAUCUUAUACUCUUGCAGAGAUAUGCUCAAACCUUGAAGUGGAUAGCUGGAGUUUUAGAGGUUCUGGUAACAAGGCUGUCACAGUCUGUAAUCACAAUAGCUUCUGAAGAGAAAAGACAUGCUCUUGGCACGUACUUAGACAUUGAAUUAACUAACAUUUUCAUAGGCACAUUCUUUGCACAAGUUUCAUCCCUGCCUCUAAGAGAUUAUCCUCUGGUGUUGAACAGCUAGGAGAUGUCCUUUGUGGAUGCUUUCCCUAGGAAUAUCCAGCCUAUCCCAGUCUAUCACUUUUACUGAUACUUUUUUUUUUUUUUAGUUAUUGUGGUAUAGCUUGAAUCUUUCCUAUAGUGUGUUUUUACUCUCAGUCCAUGGGCACCUUGGGCAUGGAGAAUAUUUUUCUACCUUUUUACCCACUUCUUUGCAGAAGCCCUUUAUCUGUUAGAAGACACUGUAUGCUCCUCCAUUUUAUCUUUUCUUGAAAAUCUCUUUGUUCUGUUUUACCUCAUGAGUGCUAUUGUCCCUGCUCUGGCUGCAAUCUUGAGAGUCUUCAGCACAAGAAGUAUUCCCUUCCCUUCCCUUCCCUUCCCUUCCCUUCCCUUCCCUUCCCUUCCCUUCCCUUCCCUUCCCUUCCCUUCCCU